rnacentral:rRNA from 1 species
UACGUAGGGUGCGAGCGUUGCCCGGAUUUAUUGGGCGUAAAGGGCGCGUAGGCGGUCACGCACGUCCGUUGUGAAAUCGCUCGGCUCAACUGGGCGGGGUCAGCGGAUACGGCGUGGCUGGAGCAAGCUAGGGGGCAAUGGAAUUCCCGGUGUAGUGGUGGAAUGCGUAGAUAUCGGGAGGAACACCAGUGGCGAAGGCGGUUGCCUGGAGCUUUGCUGACGCUGAUGCGCGAAAGCGUGGGGAGCGAUCGGG